rnacentral:rRNA from 1 species
UACGUAGGGUGCGAGCGUUAAUCGGAAUUACUGGGCGUAAAGCGUGCGCAGGCGGUUUUGUAAGCCAGAUGUGAAAUCCCCGGGCUUAACCUGGGAAUGGCAUUUGGGACUGCAAGGCUGGAGUGCGGCAGAGGAGACUGGAAUUCCUGGUGUAGCAGUGAAAUGCGUAGAUAUCAGGAGGAAUACCGAUGGCGAAGGCAGGUCUCUGGGCUGACACUGACGCUCAUGCACGAAGCGUGGGAGC